GACGAACGCUGGCGGCGUGCUUAACACAUGCAAGUCGAACGGAAAGGCCUCUUUCGGGGGGUACUCGGGUGGCGGAGGGGUGGGUAACACGUGAGUAACCUGCCCUCGACUUUUUGAUGACUUCUGGAAACUGGGGCUAAUACCGGAUAGGGGCUCCUGCUUCCUGGUGGGGGUUGGAGAGUUUCGGCGGUUGGGGGUGUGCUGGUGGCGUAUCAGCUUUUGCGUGGGGUCGUGGUUUACCCAGGCUUUGGCGGGUAGCCGGCCUGAGAGGGUGACCGGCGACCUUGGGACCGAGAGACGGCCCCAGCUGCUACGGGUGGCAGCAGUGGGGAAUAUUGCACAAUGGGUGGCAGCCUGAUGCAGCAGGGCCGCGUGCGGGAUGACGGCCUUCGGGUUGUAGACCGCUUUCGCGCUUGACGAAGCUUUGUGUGACGGUAGUGGGUAAAGAAGCACCGGCUAACUACGUG
rnacentral:rRNA from 1 species